rnacentral:rRNA from 1 species
AAUGAACGCUGGCGGCAUGCCUAACACAUGCAAGUCGAACGAAGCCUUCGGGCUUAGUGGCGCACGGGUGCGUAACGCUUGGGAAUCUGCCCUUGGGUUCGGAAUAACUCUCCGAAAGGAGUGCUAAUACCGGAUGAUGUCGAAAGACCAAAGAUUUAUCGCCCAGGGAUGAGCCCGCGUAGGAUUAGCUAGUUGGUGAGGGAAAAGCUCACCAAGGCGACGAUCCUUAGCUGGUCUGGGAGGAUGAUCAGCCGCACUGGGACUGAGACACGGCCCGGACACGUACGGGAGGCAGCGGUGGGGAAUAUGGGACAAUCUGCGAAAGGCUGGUCCAGCUAUGCGACGUGAGUGAUGAAGGCCUUAGGGUUGUAGAGCUCUUUUAGCCGGGAUGAUAAUGACAGUACGGGGAGAAUAAGCCUCGGCUAACUGCGUGGCAGCAGCCGCGGUAG